rnacentral:rRNA from 1 species
UGGGGGAUAUUGCACAAUGGGCGAAAGCCUGAUGUAGCGACGCCGCGUGGGGGAUGAAGGCCUUCGGGUUGUAAACUUCUUUUGCUCUGAACAAGGCAUGCCUUUGGGGUGUGUUGAGUGUAGGGGUUGAUUAGCGCCGGCUAACUACGUGCCAGCAGCCGCGGUAAUACGUAGGGCGCGAGCGUUGUCCGGAAUUAUUGGGCGUAAAGGGCUUGUAGGUGGCUGGUUGCGUCUGUCGUGAAAGCUCAUGGCUUAACUGUGGGUUUGCGGUGGGUACGGGCUGGCUUGAGUGCAGUAGGGGGGGCUGGAAUUCCUGGUGUAGCGGUGGAAUGCGCAGAUAUCAGGAGGAAUACCGGUGGCGAAGGCGGGUCUCUGGGCUGUUACUGACGCUGAGGAGCGAAAGCGUGGGGAGCGAACAGG